AGAUUGGUUGCUGGUGGAACGUUUACCCUGGCUGUGCAAACCUUAUUGAGAGUGGCAAUCGCACGGGUAAAGUAUCUUUUGAGAGGUUGCUGUAGCUAAAAUGGGCAAAGUGGUAGUGGCUUUUCUUUUCUUGGCGACUGUAAUCUGCGUCAUAGCGGCACAGGAAUCUAGGCACGGAUUGCCGUACAGGUGCCGAGGACCAAGGCCGCAUCAAGGUAACUGCUUCCGGGCCGACCAUAUGUGGCACUUCAACGGUUAUCGAUGCGUCAAACUUCCUUUGCAUUGCUACACGACGAACCCCAAUAGCAAUGCCUUCGGCUCCAAGUUUGAAUGCAAACGCCUGUGCGAGGGGCGUCACGGAUAAAUUAGUUUAAAUAUCUGUACG